rnacentral:rRNA from 1 species
GACGAACGCUGGCGGCGUGCUUAACACAUGCAAGUCGAACGGAAAGGCCUGCUUUCCCUUGUGGAUUGCGGGUACUCGAGUGGCGAACGGGUGAGUAACACGUGAGUGAUCUGCCCCCAACUUGGGUAUAAGCCUGGGAAACUGGGUCUAAUUCCCGAUAGGACUGCAGGGUGGUGCCUGUGGUGGAAAACGAUUUUCUAGUGGUUGGGGAUGAGCUCGCGGCCUAUCAGCUUGUUGGUGGGGUAAUGGCCUACCAAGGCGGCGACGGGUAGCCGGCCUGAGAGGGUGGACGGCCACAUUGGGACUGAGAUACGGCCCAGACUCCCACGGGAGGCAGCAGUGGGGAAUAUUGCACAAUGGGCGGAAGCCUGAUGCAGCGACGCCGCGUGGGGGAUGACGGCCUUCGGGUUGUAAACUCCUUUCGACCGCGAGGAAGCCACCUGGUUGGAAGGGUGGUGGCGGUAGUGGUAGAAGAAGCACCGGCUAACUACGUG